AGUGAGCGCUGGCGGUAGGCCUAACACAUGCAAGUCGAACGGCAGCACAGUAAGAGCUUGCUCUUACGGGUGGCGAGUGGCGGACGGGUGAGGAAUACAUCGGAAUCUACUUUUUCGUGGGGGAUAACGUAGGGAAACUUACGCUAAUACCGCAUACGACCUACGGGUGAAAGCAGGGGAUCUUCGGACCUUGCGCGAUUGAAUGAGCCGAUGUCGGAUUAGCUAGUUGGCGGGGUAAAGGCCCACCAAGGCGACGAUCCGUAGCUGGUCUGAGAGGAUGAUCAGCCACACUGGAACUGAGACACGGUCCAGACUCCUACGGGAGGCAGCAGUGGGGAAUAUUGGACAAUGGGCGCAAGCCUGAUCCAGCCAUACCGCGUGGGUGAAGAAGGCCUUCGGGUUGUAAAGCCCUUUUGUUGGGAAAGAAAAGUAGCAGGUUAAUACCCCGCUGUUCUGACGGUACCCAAAGAAUAAGCACCGGCUAACUUCGUG
rnacentral:rRNA from 1 species